AUAAAGACAAAGAAGGAAUGGAGUAAUUUAUGUAACAUGUUGAAAGAGAACUUGUGGUUGGUGCAAACAAGUCAUGAACAUAAAUGAAUUGGGAUUCUGGAGUUAUAGAUGGCAUCAGUCAUUUAUCGUUAAUCGCGUUAAGAUGAAAGUGCAUAUCAAAUGAUAUGAAUAAAGGUGGUACCGCGUUCAAACGUCCUUUUU
rnacentral:ncRNA from 1 species